rnacentral:sRNA from 1 species
AGUAGAUUGGGAAACUCAUCAAAUUUUAAUGAAAUGCCGAGACAAUCUUUCUCGUCCAAUGGCGGGCCGCAUUCUGCAAGGAUUUGCUCUACGGGGCACAGCGGAUUACAAAGGACGGAAGACCUCAAAACCUGAUUAUCGGAGUUUCAUCGCAUCCUUUGGUGUGGCUA